GGAUCUAUGAUGAGAACAAGUAUCUGAGAACGUUGACUGAUUUAUACAGAUGCAAGCUGAGGUCC